ACACAACCGAAUUGAGCAGCAAUCAAACGUGAUUGGUUCUUACAUCUAGAACCAACAAAUCAACGUCGAGUGUUGACAAGACGAUGCUCAACGGUUGUGUGUCCUGAACGCACCCAAUCUUUAAGGGUCGACAGGAAUGACGAGCACAUGAAGCUAAUACCAGAGAGAAACCUGAGAGCGGCAAGCGGGAAUGCCGGCAGAGAGAAGCCUGAGAGUCAUGUUUGGUGUCAUUUUAAUCGCAAAAAUCUCAUUAAUCCAUUACAAUUAUUUUCAAACUGAUAAAAUAUAAAAUAAAAGUUUUAGUUUUUAUUUUAUAAGAUGUUUAUGUAAUGUAGAUAAGGAAAGAUCCUCGAUGCUGCUGGAGAGUCGUCGAAAGCAAGAGCGAGCGAGAUGACUACGAUCACCACCUAAAUAUUUCUAUAUAUAUUCCUUAUAAUCUGAAGAUAUAUGUUUCUAUUAUAUUAAAAAUAUUAUAUUUUAUUAUAUUAAAAAUAAAUAAUUUUCAUAUCAGGCUAUAAUGUUACCAUACUGGCAUAUGGACAAACCGGCAGUGGCAAAACUCAUUCUAUGGGCACAAAUUAUGUAGAAACGGGAGACAAAGGUAUAAUACCAAGACUUACCCAAAACAUAUAUUUGAAAGAAUAAAACUGAAGGAGGACAGCUUUAAAGUAAUUAUAUCAUAUAUGGAAUUAUAUCAAGACCAAUUCUAUGACCUAUUAUCUAAUAAGCAAAAGAAUCAAUCUAUCAUAUAAAUAUUAGAAACCUCAGAAAAAAUUUAAAAAUAUGUGGCAUUACCGAAAAAAAAGUCGGAAAUGCCGAAGAGACUUUGCAAUAUUUGAUUGAGGGAUCUACAUGUCGUACAACGAGCGCGACUGCUAUGAAUGUGCAUAGCAGUCGUAGCCAUGUUAUAUUUACGAUAUAUGUAUGAACAAAAGAAAAAUGAUCCAAAUACUGCGAUAGUUGCCAAAGUCCAUUUAGUUGAUUUAGCGGGCUCGGGACGUAAUAAGAAGACUCGCGCUACUGGAGAAAGAUUUAAAGAAGACGUAUAUAUAAAUAAAGCAUUGUUAACGUUAGGCAAUGUCAUUUCACAGCUUGAUGCUUCUGGAACAUAUAUUGGAUACAGAAAUAAUAAAAGCUAACAAGAAUUUUAGAAGAUUCUCUAGGUGUCUCUAGGUAAAUCACAAACGAUUUUCUAUCAAUUACAAUUAUCACGAAAUCUGUUUAUUAUUAAAAAGUGUCGGCUGACAUACAAUAUACAGUAUGUUACAUAAUAAAUUUUCUGUCAAAUGAUAAAGUAACGCGACAUCCUCUUAUGUAAUCUAAAAUCGUAUUUAAACGAAUUUGCAUACUCUUGUAAAAUAUUUUGGCUAAAUUAUAAUCUACUAUAGCAGUUUCAAAAUUAAUGUCAAUUUUGGGAAAGAAAUAAAUACAAUACAGU